AUGGCAAAUGUUUUGAGAAGGAUGGACAUUGAUGUACCGACAAUGGGCUUUCUUUAUGGAUGUAUGUUGGAUGCAAAGAAAGAGAUUUCAGUGAGGUUUGACAAUGAAAAGUCUCGGUUUCUAGAAGUAUCGGACAUUAUUCACAAGAGAUGGGACAAUAAACUCAAGGCCACAUUGCAUAGGGCUGGAUACUACUUGAACCCAUACGACUACUAUCCAAACAAGGGGGGUAUCGAGCUUGAUGGCACACUGAAGGAAGGACUAAUAAUUUGUAUUUCAAAGAUGAUUGAAGAUCCUAUCAAACAAGAAGAAAUCACCGAUGACAUUGAUAAUUAUAACAAGGAGAUAGGAUCAUUUGGAAGGGACAUUGCUGUACGGGGGCGGAAAAAUAAAAAAAUUGAUCCAGGUAAAUGGUGCUAA
rnacentral:rRNA from 1 species